UACGUAGGUGGCAAGCGUUGUCCGGAUUUACUGGGCGUAAAGGGCGUGUAGCCGGGCUUACAAGUCAGAUGUGAAAUCCGGGGGCUCAACCCCCGAACUGCAUUUGAAACUGUAGGUCUUGAGUAUCGGAGAGGCAGGCGGAAUUCCUAGUGUAGCGGUGAAAUGCGUAGAUAUUAGGAGGAACACCAGUGGCGAAGGCGGCCUGCUGGACGACAACUGACGGUGAGGCGCGAAAGCGUGGGGAGCAAACAGG
rnacentral:rRNA from 1 species